UACGGGGGGGGCAAGCGUUGUUCGGAAUUACUGGGCGUAAAGGGCUCGUAGGCGGCCAACUAAGUCAGACGUGAAAUCCCUCGGCUUAACCGGGGAACUGCGUCUGAUACUGGAUGGCUAGAGGUUGGGAGAGGGAUGCGGAAUUCCAGGUGUAGCGGUGAAAUGCGUAGAUAUCUGGAGGAACACCGGUGGCGAAGGCGGCUCACUGGCCCGAUACUGACGCUGAGGCACGAAAGCGUGGGGAGCAAACAGG
rnacentral:rRNA from 1 species